CCCUUAGAGUUUGAUCCUGGCUCAGGAUGAACGCUAGCGGCAGGCUUAAUACAUGCAAGUCGAGGGGCAGCAGGGUGUAGCAAUACAUCGCUGGCGACCGGCAAACGGGUGCGGAACACGUACGCAACCUUCCUUUAAGUGGAGAAUAGCCCAGGGAAACUUGGAUUAAUACUUCGUAACAUUAUGAAAUGGCAUCAUUUUAUAAUUAUAGUUCCGACGCUUAAAGAUGGGCGUGCGCCUGAUUAGGUAGUUGGCGGGGUAACGGCCCACCAAGCCUACGAUCAGUAACUGGUGUGAGAGCACGACCAGUCACACGGGCACUGAGACACGGGCCCGACUCCUACGGGAGGCAGCAGUAAGGAAUAUUGGUCAAUGGACGCAAGUCUGAACCAGCCAUGCCGCGUGGAGGAUGAAGGUCCUCUGGAUUGUAAACUUCUUUUAUCUGGGAAGAAAUCCAUAUUUUCUAAUGUGGUUGACGGUACCAGAUGAAUAAGCACCGGCUAACUCCGUGCCAGCAGCCGCGGUAAUACGGAGGGUGCAAGCGUUAUCCGGAUUCACUGGGUUUAAAGGGUGCGUAGGCGGGUUGGUAAGUCCGUGGUGAAAUCUCCAAGCUUAACUUGGAAACUGCCGUGGAUACUAUCAAUCUUGAAUAUCGUGGAGGUAAGCGGAAUAUGUCAUGUAGCGGUGAAAUGCUUAGAUAUGACAUAGAACACCAAUUGCGUAGCAGCUUACUACACGAUUAUUGACGCUGAGCACGAAAGCGUGGGGAGCAAACAGAUAGAUACCCUGGUAGUCACGCCCUAAACGAUGGAUACUCGACAUCAGC
rnacentral:rRNA from 1 species